UACGUAGGUGGCAAGCGUUGUCCGGAAUUAUUGGGCGUAAAGCGCGCGCAGGCGGUCCUUUAAGUCUGAUGUGAAAGCCCACGGCUCAACCGUGGAGGGUCAUUGGAAACUGGGGGACUUGAGUGCAGAAGAGGAAAGCGGAAUUCCACGUGUAGCGGUGAAAUGCGUAGAGAUGUGGAGGAACACCAGUGGCGAAGGCGGCUUUCUGGUCUGUAACUGACGCUGAGGCGCGAAAGCGUGGGGAGCAAACGGG
rnacentral:rRNA from 1 species